rnacentral:rRNA from 1 species
AUGGUCAAUCUGUUGACCAAGGUUGUUAAUCAAAUAUUAUCUAGUAAAGGAGAAAGGGCUGCAGAUGUGGUAAUGCUAGCUGGUCCAAGCAAUGGUUUUCAUGUAGAAAUGAUUGUAGAAAGCCAGCCUCUAAACGGUUCUGAAUCUGACAGUAGACAGUCUUCCAUUCAGGAAACUGAAGAACAAUCCGAGGACAGAAAAAUGCUUAUGUCCAUGCUAUCCCUCACCAUGGUGAUAUGCAACAAAAAUGUGAUCAGCGCAGAUGAUUUUACCCGUGCCAUCCCUGACGAUGCAGCACUCGUGAAGAAGCUCAAGGAGAUAGUAGAAAUGCUUCAGGAUGCCACGACUGGCGGCUGGAGAAUGCUAAAGCUUGUUUGUCAGGUGGUUAUAGCAGUGGUUCAGCUCAAACCCAGCUGCACCAGAGAGUUCAAUGAACAUAACUUCAAGGAGGCACUGUCCAAGGCUCUUGCGAUCAUGUCGGGCAUCGACAACUGCAUGAUCUUUGCUGGCAAUGACCGUGAGGUGCCUGCCAAGUCUCUCGCUUCUCUUGUGAAAGAGGCACAGGAGCUCUUGGCACAAGAGCAGGGUGACAUAAUCUCUACCUGA